AAUAAAGAAGAAAAUGGUGUUAUAGAUUAACAAAACCAAAAGUUAUUGUUUUCAAUACUUUUCAAUACAGAUUACUGAGAUAGACAAACUUCUGGCAGAACGGGGCAAUUAAAACUAAAAAAAUUCUCUAAAGGGCCAACGGUAAAUAUUUUAGACUUUGCGAGUAUAAUUUCUGACAAUUAAUCAACUUUGCUAUAAUAAGAAAUCAGUCAUAGUCUAUACCUAAAGGAAUGGGCACGUCUGUGACCCAAUAUAAUUUUACUUACACUGAAAUUUGAAUUUUGUAUACUUUUCAGAUGCCACAAAAUAAUAUUCUGGGGUUUUUUCCAGCUAUUAAAAAAAGUAAUGUUCAUUCUUAGCUUGCUGCAGGCUGUGCAACCUCAAAAGGAUGCGGGUCGAGACCCAGCUGUGUGGUCAGUUCCUCAAGUAUGGGGCAGGAAGCUAGCACUCUUAUGGAAAAGGGCCCACGCCUGAGGAUUACUGGAACUUGACUCCAGUGGGUAAUCAUUUUCCCUGAUGGACUGGGAGCCCGCCCUCAGCCCUGAGCCCUGGCUGGCUGUGUAACCUUGAUCACUCAACAGGUUUCCAGGAAUUCAAAAGCCAUCACAGCUGCCCUCGCCCCUCUCAGCCAGACCCCACAACCAGUGGUCGCCAGGAGGGGCGCCAGAGAGCGCGCAUGCGCUCCACCCCGCCUCGCGGCCAAUCGGAUCGCAACGCCCUGGGCCGCGCCGACCUCGCGCCCGCACCUGGCAGCCAAUCACAGGUCGCAGCGGGCGCGCGUGCGGAGGCGUCGGCGGCGUCGGCGGCGCCUGGGGCCUGAGGAGGCGUCGUCGCCUCGGGCUCUGCCCGGGAGCGACUCCGGCCCGUCCGCCGCCCGCAGUUCCGGGACCGCCGUGGACAGCCACGGAUGUGACCUCCUCCUGCCUGGAAAAUCUCUUGUUUUGAAGUUUCAGUGCACACUGGAGAUUGGAUUAUGCUGACUUGAAGGGUCCACAUUGGGCUACAGUGAAUUCUGAUGUUAUGUUUUCAGAAAUUGGUGGCAGUUCAUAUAAAGGAAGCAGUGGGA